CCCGCUGAACUUAAGCAUAUUAAUAAGCGGAGGAAAAGAAACUAACAAGGAUUCCCCUAGUAACGGCGAGUGAAGCGGGAAGAGCUCAAGCUUAAAAUCUCCGUGCAAGUUUUGCGCGGCGAAUUGUAGUCUAUAGAGGCGUGAUCAGUGUGGGCGCUUGGGGCAAGUUCCUUGGAAGAGGACAGCAUGGAGGGUGAUACUCCCGUUCAUCCCUGAGUUGCUCGUGCGUACGAUCCGUUUUCUUUGAGUCGCGUUGUUUGGGAAUGCAGCGCAAAGUAGGUGGUAAAUUCCAUCUAAAGCUAAAUAUUGGUGCGAGACCGAUAGCGAACAAGUACCGUGAGGGAAAGAUGAAAAGAACUUUGAAAAGAGAGUUAAAGAGUACCUGAAACUGCUGAAAGGGAACCGAAUCGUUUCCAGUGUCUAUAAUCCGUGGUAUAUUUCAUUGGCGAGUGUGUGCGUGCGUGUGCUGUGGCAGCGGCUUUUUUGGCUGCGCUCGGCGUGUGUGCUGUGUGUGCUUGCUGGUGCCCUGUGCUGCGGUGGGACGUCAAGGUCAGUUCGUAUGCUGCGGGAAAUGGCCGCCGAGGAGGUAGGGCUUACGCUUGCGUUUGUCUGUUAUAUCUUGGUGGACGAGUAGUCGCGGUUGGGACUGAGGUGCCUACAACGUGUUUUUGAGUGGGCCUGUGUCUCUGUGUGCGCCGUGUGCGGAUAGCUUGCUAUGCGUGUGUGGUUGUGUGUGGAUUGAUGUGGGUUUUAACUUGUUGCCGUUCGGGACGUUGACGAAAUGGAGCGAUUUGACCCGUCUUGAAACACGGACCAAGGAGUCUAACAUGUGUGCAAGUGUUAGGGUGUGGAAACCCCAGCGCGAAAUGAAAGUGAAGGGCAGCGUAAGUUGUCUGAGGUAGGAAAUGCUGCGGGCUUCGGUCUGCGGUGUGGCACUAUCGACCGAUCAUGAACCUUCGUGGUGAAAGAUUUGAGUUUGAGCACAUAUGUUGGUACCCGAAAGAUGGUGAACUAUGCCUGAGUAGGGUGAAGCCAGGGGAAACUCUGGUGGAAGCUCGUAGCGAUUCUGACGUGCAAAUCGAUCGUCAAACUUGGGUAUAGGGGCGAAAGACUAAUCGAACCAUCUAGUAGCUGGUUCCCUCCGAAAUUUCCCUCAGGAUAGCAGCAACUUAUUUACGAUAGUUUUAUGAGGUAAAGCGAAUGAUUAGAGGAUUCGGGGAAGAAACUUCCUCGACCUAUUCUCAAACUUUAAAUCUGUAAGACCUGCAGGUUUCUUAAUUGAACUUGUGGAUGUGAAUAUCAAGUUGCUAGUGGGCCAUACGGGGUAAGCUCGUCUGGCGAUGCGGGAUGAACCGAACGCAAAGUUAAAGUGCCAAAAUGCUCGCUCACCUAGAUACCAUAAAAGGUGUUGGUUCAUUUAGACAGCAGGACGGUGGCCAUGGAAGUCGGAAUCCGCUAAGGAGUGUGUAACAACUCACCUGCCGAAUGAACUAGCCCUGAAAAUGGAUGGCGCUAAAGCGGGCUACUUAUACUUUGCCGUUAGCGCGAUAGCAUUUAUAAUGUACGCGUUAAUGAGUAGGAGGGCGUGAAGGUCGUGAAGAAGCUCGUGGCGUGAGCCUGAGUGAAACGGCCUUUAGUGCAGAUCUUGGUGGUAGUAGCAAAUAUUCAAAUGCGAACUUUGAAGACUGAAGUGGAGAAAGGUUCCGUGUGAUCAGUAAUUGGACACGGGUGAGUCGAUCCUAAGAGAUAGGAUAAUUCCGUUUGAAAGCUGGGCUGUUUGAGGCGUGGGGUUCGUCCUUGCGUUUUGUAUGCAGCCUCGUGUAUCGAAAGGGAAUCAGGUUAAUAUUCCUGAACCGAGACGUGGAUAAUAUGUGGUAACACAACCGACCCAGGAGACGCUAGCGUGUGCCCAGGGAAGAGUUCUCUUUUCUUUUUAACAAGCAUAUCCUACCUUGGAAACGGAUUAUCCGGCGAUAAGGAGGAUGCCUUGGCAAAGCACUUUACUUUUUGAAGUGUCCUGCGCGCCCACGACAGCCCUUGAAAAUCCUGGCUAGAGAUUUAUUCGCACCCUCGUUCGUACUCAUAACCGCAUCAGGUCUCCAAGGUUAGCAGCCUCUAGUU
rfam:Phytophthora infestans T30-4 supercont1.52 genomic scaffold, whole genome shotgun sequence.